rnacentral:rRNA from 1 species
AGAACGAACGCUGGCGGCGCGCCUAAUACAUGCAAGUCGAGCGAGAAGACGUAGCAAUACGUUUGUAAAGCGGCGAACGGGUGAGGAAUACAUGGGUAACCUACCCUAGAGUGGGGAAUAACUAGCCGAAAGGUUAGCUAAUACCGCGUACGCUCCUUGGACUUCGGUACAGGGAGGAAAGCGAUACCGUGGGUAUCGCGCUCUUGGAUGGGCUCAUGUCCUAUCAGCUUGUUGGUGAGGUAACGGCUCACCAAGGCUUCGACGGGUAGCUGGUCUGAGAGGACGAUCGAGCCACACUGGCACUGCGACGACGGGCCAGACCUCCGUACGGGACGGCAGCAGUAAAGGAUAGUAGCGACAAGUGGGACGAAAGCCAGGACGCGACGCGGACCGCCGGCGGUAGGGGGG